ACGUACACUCCUACGGGGGCAGCAGUGGGGAAUUUUGGACAAUGGGCGAAAGCCUGAUCCAGCCAUGCCGCGUGCAGGAUGAAGGCCUUCGGGUUGUAAACUGCUUUUGUACGGAACGAAACGGCCUUUUCUAAUAAAGAGGGCUAAUGACGGUACCGUAAGAAUAAGCACCGGCUAACUACGUGCCAGCAGCCGCGGUAAUACGUAGGGUGCAAGCGUUAAUCGGAAUUACUGGGCGUAAAGCGUGCGCAGGCGGUUAUGUAAGACAGUUGUGAAAUCCCCGGGCUCAACCUGGGAACUGCAUCUGUGACUGCAUAGCUAGAGUACGGUAGAGGGGGAUGGAAUUCCGCGUGUAGCAGUGAAAUGCGUAGAUAUGCGGAGGAACACCGAUGGCGAAGGCAAUCCCCUGGACCGGUACUGACGCUCAUGCACGAAAGCGUGGGGAGCAAACAGGAUUAGAUACCCCAGUAGUCCCAUGA
rnacentral:rRNA from 1 species